rnacentral:lncRNA from 1 species
GUGAAUGGUGUUGAAGCGCGUAGUGUUGUUGAGUUUCAACUUGCGCUACCACCAAGAAUGACGGAGACCCGUAAUGCACUUUUGGAAUUACACACGGCAAAUGUGAGUGAGUCUAGUCUCACGUCCUCCGUAGUGAGCCUUUGGAUAGUUCCAAUGAGCGAAAGGCCACUCCGAGAUGCAAAAGUGCAUUGUACCCCCUUGUCACUCAAUAAAGAGAAUUAGAGUGUGAAUUGGGUUGAAGUGAGUGAGUUUCGGGGCCGAAACUCUUAUUAAGGAGGGGAGGAUGUAAGGUACCGGACUUCUAAAACUGUGAAGUUACGGUGUGCAUUUAAAUGGUUCCGGUGAGGUUGCGGUGGAAUGUAACAUACCGGAUUUUAAAUAUAAAAAUGAAAAUAAAUAAAAAUAGUAUGAGAUACUAUUUUUAUUGGAUUUAGAGAAGUGAAAUAUAAGUUGGGAAUGACCUGUGCUGAAAUCAGAGCGAAAACAGAAGAUUUAGAAUUUUCUGUUGGAAACGGGGCAGAUAAAUUAGCAGAAAAUGCACAGUCUCAGAAAAUUAUGAAAAUUGGCAGAGAUGUCAGAAAUAUUUUUAUGAGGCUAGAUUUAAGGUUUCAUAUUUUUCUGACACCCGUAGAGAGAGAAAUAGAAUCCGAAAGCUAUCUGAUAAAGAUUGCAGUUCGGUACAGUUUUCAGUGACCAAACGGGGUCGAAACUGAAAUAUUAAAAUUUCUUUGGACUUAUUAAGUGAAACCGAACAUGCCUGUCAAAUUUGAGCGAAAACGGACAUCCGGAAGGGCUCCAACGAAAUUUAUCAGAUUUCAAGCUGCCCGAAGUGAAUAGUGCGUAGUUGAGGGGCAAAAUGGUAAAAAGGGUUUAAAACCCCUUUUCUUCUUCUCCUCCCAACCGUGGCUGCCCCAACCGCACACACCACACACGCAUACACAAGAACACACACGCAUGGAAAGGAAAGGAGAGAAAUCCCUUUCUCUCUCUAAAUCUCUCCCAAAAUGGAUGGAUUUGGUGGAGAUUGAAGCUUGGAGGUGGAUCGCCUUCGUCUUCUUCAUCUUCUCCAUGAUUUGGAGCUAAUUUUGAGGUAAGCUUUUGCUACCCUUUAAUGGUAGAUCCUUAAUGGUUGGUUUAAAUAGCUUAGAAAUGGAUUUAGAGGAAUCCUAGCAUGCUAUCUAGAUGAUUGAUGCUUAAUUCGUGAAGGGAUUUGAUGAUUUCUUGCAUAGUUGC